rnacentral:rRNA from 1 species
GAGUGCGUAAUAGCUCACUGGUCGAGUGACCCUGCGCCGAAAAUUCAACGGGGCUGAAAUCAUAUACCGAAGCUUGGGAACUGGUGGAUUAGUAGUUAGGGGUUAGAUGUUAGGAAGGGCAAGGGAAAUGAUCGAGAAUUACCGGCAGUUAACCGUGUAUCAAAAAUCAUAUGACCUUGCCAGGAAGGUUCAUGAACUUACAGCAGCAUUUCCGAAAUUUGAGCAGUAUGAGCUGGGAAGCCAGAUGCGGCGAGCAUCGAGUUCGAUUCCGGCAAAUAUUGCGGAAGGUUUCGGAAAGAACGAUUCCAGAGCGGAAUUUGUAAGAUUUCUGCGGAUGGGAAUGGGUUCGGCAAACGAGAUGCUGGUAUGGCUGGAUUUUGGGAAAGAUUACGGCUAUAUCACGGCAGAAGACCACGACGCGCUUCAAAAGGCGUACGGGUAUCUUGCCAGACAGCUGAACCGUCUGAUUGGGAAGCUGUAAGCGAAAAAAUUCCAUUCUAAUCCUCUAACAACUAACUACUAACCCACCAAUUGGUAGGAGAGCGUUGAAUGAGAGCCGAAGCGGGAGCGGAAGCGUCCGUGGAUUUCAUUCAAGAGAGAAUGCCGGAAUGAGUAGCGCGAAAUGUGUGAGAAUCACAUUGGCCGGAAGUCUAAGGUUUCUGGAGGAAGGUUCGUCCGCUCCAGGUAAGUCGGGAGCUAAGGUGAGGCCGAAAGGCGUAGCCGAUGCACAUACGGUGGAAAUUCCGUAACCGCGGAAGGAUUUAAGCAGGGAGACACCUUGAAAGGGCACAACCCGGGCGCUGGUAGACCCGGGCGUAAGGGACCGAAAUUAGAGUAGGGAAGUGUGCUUGGACGAGGGCGGGAAAAGCCCUGAGGGAGAUCCGACGCGCCCGUACCGCAAACCGACACAGGUAGACGGGAAGAAGAUUCCAAGGCCAACGGGAGAAGGGUAGUUAAGGAACUCGGCAAAUUGACCCCGUAACUUAGGGAAAAGGGGUGCCACAGCGAUGUGGCCGCAGAGAAUAGGCCCAGGCGACUGUUUAGCAAAAACACAGGUUUCUGCCAAAUCGAAAGAUGACGUAUAGGAGCUGACACCUGCCCGGUGCUGGAAGGUUAAGAGGAGAUGUGCAAGCAUUGAAUUGAAGCCCCAGUAAACGGCGGCCGUAACUAUAACGGUCCUAAGGUAGCGAAAUUCCUUGUCGGGUAAGUUCCGACCCGCACGAAAGGUGUAACGAUCUGGGCGCUGUCUCGACUACCCGCCCGGCGAAAUUGUAGUACCGGUGAAGAUGCCGGUUUCCCGCGACAAGACGGAAAGACCCCAUGGAGCUUUACUGUAGUUUAAUAUUGGGUUUCGGCAAUUUAUGUACAGGAUAGGUGGGAGGCUGAGAAGCCGUGGCGCCAGCCGCGGCGGAGCUGCCCUUGGGAUACCACCCUUAAGUUGCUGAAAUUCUAACCUGCGGCCGUGACCCGGCCGGGGGACAUUGUUAGACGGGCAGUUUGACUGGGGCGGUCGCCUCCAAAAAGGUAACGGAGGCGCUCAAAGGUCGGCUCGGCACGGACGGAAACCGUGCGGGAGAGUGUAAACGCACAAGCCGGCCCGACUGCGAGGACGACGGUCCGAGCAGAAACGAAAGUUGGAGUUAGUGAUCCGGCG